UGAACAUUUCAAGUUGGACUAAUUAAUAUUGUAUUUAUUUAUAAGUAUUAAAAAUCUCUUCAAGGAAUACUAAUCACACUUAGAUAUAGCAAUAACGCUAAACAUUGAACGUACUAUUCCUUCAUUUGUCAGGAAUGUUCAGGAAUAGGCCAUUGUGGAAAUCUUACAGUAUCACAAAGAUGUCUCAGAUAGAAUAUUUGACAGAAUAAUUCUUUCUCUAAUUGUGGAUAUCUUAUAGCAGCAAAACUACGCCCAUUUGGUGGUUGCUGAAGAAACUUAACAUGAGUUGUUUCAACUUCUUCAUCAACAGUAUAACUACGCACUUGACCAUUAAGAUAUUGAAUAGUAAAUAAUUGUGGAUUUUCAUUAUCACGAAUCAAUGUGAAAAUAUCUGAUAAAGGUCUAAGAGUACAAAUAUUGUAUGUCUGAGGAUCUCUUUCUAAUAAACAAGUAUCAGAGAGACAAAGAGUUCUUCUUUGAGGAUCUAUAUGUCUAGGUGAAUAUUUGUGAACAGUAAAUUCUGAUACACUUGUUAUAUGUUCAUCACCACUAAAUUUACCCAAUCUCUGAGCAAUAAAAUCAUCUAAUUUGAUUGGUUCUUUCAAAACUUUUAUGCUGAUACCUAAGUUGUUCAUAGCUGAUUCCAGCAGCUUUUUUUUAAUUUCUUCCAUAUGUUGAGAAGCAAAAAGAUGUAAACGUCCAAAUCCGCCACAAACAAUUACAAAGCCAUUAGGAUAAUCUUUUAUUGUAAGAAUUCCUUCAAAAUCUUUAUAACAGUAACUAGCUAAUACCAUAUUGGUUGCUGGAUCUAAUUGAUCAAGACUAUAUGGUGUCACUUCUAAUACGACAGGCAAUCUUGUGUCAGACCAAUGAUGUUUAUAAGCUUGAUAUCUCUAGAGACAAUAAAAGUAUUAAUUUAAUAAAUAUAUAUAUAUAUAAAAUAUAAUAAUAUAUAAAAUAUAAAAUAAUAAUUUGUUUAUUAUUAUAUUUUUGAUUUUAUCCAGUUAUUAAUCCAAAGAAUAUUGGAUAUAUAAUAUAUAUAAUAUUUGAUAAAAGUAUUGAAUAGUUAAUGAAAAUUAUAUAUAAUAUUAUAAAAAUAAUAUGUGUUAGUUAUGCAGAUAACUGGUAACAAAUAUGUAUAUGUUAUUAAUACAUUAUAGGCUAUUGUAUACCAACCAUAUGGCUAAGUUGAUAAGAAAUUUGAUUAAACUUUAACAAUGUUAUUUUUUUGAAAAUAUUAUAUUAAAAAAUAUAUAACUCACCAA